UACGUAGGGAGCAAGCGUUGUUCGGAUUUACUGGGCGUAAAGGGCGCGUAGGCGGCAAUUCAAGUCAGCUGUGAAAUCUCCGGGCUUAACUCGGAAAGGUCAACUGAUACUGUGCGGCUAGAGUGCAGAAGGGGCAACUGGAAUUCUCGGUGUAGCGGUGAAAUGCGUAGAUAUCGAGAGGAACACCUGCGGCGAAGGCGGGUUGCUGGGCUGACACUGACGCUCAUGCACGAAAGCGUGGGGAGCAAACAGG
rnacentral:rRNA from 1 species